CUCGGAUAACCGUAGUAACACUAGAGCUAAUACGUGCGUAAAUCCCGACUUUUGGAAGGGACGUAUUUAUUAGAUUUAUGGCCAGCCGGGCUUGCCCGACCAGCGGUGAAUCAUGGUAACUUGACGGAUUGCAUGGCCUUCGUGCCGGCGACGUGUCAUUCAAGUUUCUGCCCCAUCAGGUUUCGACUGUAGUGUAUUGGACUACAGUGCCUAUAACGGGUAGCGGAGGAUUAGGGUUCGAUUCCGGAGAGGGAGCCUGAGAAACGGCUACCACAUCCAAGGAAGGCAGCAGGCGCGCAAAUUACCCAAUCCCAACUCAGGGAGGUAGUGACAAGAAAUAGCAAUGCGGGGCUUCAUGCUCUGCAAUUGGAAUGAGUACAAUUUAAAUCACUUAACGAGUAUCAAUUGGAGGGCAAGUCUGGUGCCAGCAGCCGCGGUAAUUCCAGCUCCAAUAGCGUAUAUGUAAGUUGUUGCGAUUAAAAAGCCCGUAGCUGAACCUCGGGCAACCCUGACGGUCCGCGAUUCGUGAGUACUGUCGUGGGUUGUCUUUCUGGCAAGACCGUAUCUCUGCGUUAACUCGCCGGGAACGGCGCUUGCCAAGGUUACUUUGAGUAAAAUAGAGUGUUCAAAGCAAGCUCGCGCUCUGAAUACACUAGCAUGGGAUAACACGACAUGACCGAUGGUCUAUCUUGUUGGCCUGUAGACCUGUUGGUAAUGGCUAAUAGGGACGGUCGGGGGCAUUCGUAUUUCGCUGUCAGAGGUGAAAUUCUUGGAUUUGCGAAAGACGAACUACUGCGAAAGCAUUUGCCAAGGACGCUUUCAUUAGUCAAGGACGAAA
rnacentral:rRNA from 1 species